GAGCGGAAGAUGGGAGCUUGCUCCCUGAUGUUAGCGGCGGACGCCGUGAGUAACACGUGGGUAACCUGCCUGUAAGACUGGGAUAACUCCGGGAAACCGGGGCUAAUACCGGAUGGUUGUUUGAACCGCAUGGUUCAAACAUAAAAGGUGGCUUCGGCUACCACUUACAGAUGGACCCGCGGCGCAUUAGCUAGUUGGUGAGGUAACGGCUCACCAAGGCAACGAUGCGUAGCCGACCUGAGAGGGUGAUCGGCCACACUGGGACUGAGACACGGCCCAGACUCCUACGGGAGGCAGCAGUAGGGAAUCUUCCGCAAUGGACGAAAGUCUGACGGAGCAACGCCGCGUGAGUGAUGAAGGUUUUCGGAUCGUAAAGCUCUGUUGUUAGGGAAGAACAAGUACCGUUCGAAUAGGGCGGUACCUUGACGGUACCUAACCAGAAAGCCACGGCUAACUACGUGCCAGCAGCCGCGGUAAUACGUAGGUGGCAAGCGUUGUCCGGAAUUAUUGGGCG
rnacentral:rRNA from 1 species